UUCUGCCUUGCCCAGAGUGCAUGGCAGGGUUUUUGGGACUGUGAGCUUGGGAGCCUUUGGAGGGAUCUGCAAUUAGCAGAGGUGACAAAUGGGCUUUCUGCUGGUGCUGAAUCACUGAAUCACCACGCUGUGACCCCUGGUGAUGGCCCUGUAUUGCAUCCUGCAUGUCCUUUCCAAAGCUGAGGAGAAAAGCUGGCACCAUUCUAUUUGCUGGACAAUUACUGUGUAUGCUCUCAAAAAGCUUUCCUGCUUCAGCAGCACUUUAAAUCCAAGAGACAAUCUGAGUUUGACUUGGCCAAGUGACAAAGGCCAUUUCCUUUCUGAUUAGCCCGGUUGUCGCUUGGCUUUCCUCCCUUUCCAUCCAUAUCUGCUCAUGGAGGUCUCUGUCUGAGGACAUUCGGGGGGCUUGCAGCUUGCAGAAACGUGGUGGAUGCAGUACAUAAUCUGGGCUAUAAUUAAUGUUUGUUGUCAUCAUCUUGCUAAGUAUCUGCAAGUAUCUGGCAUUAUCAUGUUGGUGGAUGAAAGGGCAGGCCUGGAAACCUCCCUCAGCUAAGGCUGCAGUGAUUCUUGUCUUAGAGAGAAGGAGCUUCCCUGGGAGAGAUUUCAGCUAUCAGCAGACUCAACACGUGUUACUUACAGCUCCUUCCCUGCCUAAAUGCAGGGAGCACAAUCCAGGCCCCUGUGCUGUGGUCCGGGGAUGGUGCCAGGAGCAGGACGGUGGAAGCUGCUGAUGGUAUUGAGGCCUGGGAGAAACAAUUCAUG